rnacentral:rRNA from 1 species
AGUGAACGCUGGCGGUAGGCCUAACACAUGCAAGUCGAACGGCAGCACAGUAAGAGCUUGCUCUUACGGGUGGCGAGUGGCGGACGGGUGAGGAAUACAUCGGAAUCUACUUUUUCGUGGGGGAUAACGUAGGGAAACUUACGCUAAUACCGCAUACGACCUACGGGUGAAAGCAGGGGAUCUUCGGACCUUGCGCGAUUGAAUGAGCCGAUGUCGGAUUAGCUAGUUGGCGGGGUAAAGGCCCACCAAGGCGACGAUCCGUAGCUGGUCUGAGAGGAUGAUCAGCCACACUUGAACUGAGACACCGUCCAGACUCCUAAGGGAGGCAGCAGGGGGGAAUUUUGGACAAUGGGCGGAAGCCUGAUCCAGCCAUACCGCGUGGGUGAAGAAGGCCUUCGGGUUGGAAAGCCCUUUUGUUGGGAAAGAAAAGCAGCAGGUUAAUACCCCGCUGUUCUGACGGUACCCAAAGAAUAAGCACCGGCUAACUUCGUG